CCUACGGGAGGCAGCAGUAGGGAAUCUUCGGCAAUGGACGAAAGUCUGACCGAGCAACGCCGCGUGAGUGAAGAAGGUUUUCGGAUCGUAAAACUCUGUUGUUAGAGAAGAACGUUGUGUAGAGUGGAAAAUUGCACAAGUGACGGUAUCUAACCAGAAAGGGACGGCUAACUACGUGCCAGCAGCCGCGGUAAUACGUAGGUCCCGAGCGUUGUCCGGAUUUAUUGGGCGUAAAGCGAGCGCAGGUGGUUUAAUAAGUCUGAUGUAAAAGGCAGUGGCUCAACCAUUGUGUGCAUUGGAAACUGUUAGACUUGAGUGCAGUAGAGGAGAGUGGAAUUCCAUGUGUAGCGGUGAAAUGCGUAGAUAUAUGGAGGAACACCGGUGGCGAAAGCGGCUCUCUGGACUGUAACUAACACUGAGGCUCGAAAGCGUGGGUAGCAAACAGAAUUAGAUACCCUGGUAGUCCACGCCGUAAACGAUGAGUGCUAGUUGUUUGGGGCUAUCCAGCCCUAAGUGACGCAGCAAACGCAUUAAGCACUCCGCCUGGGGAGUACGACCGCAAGGUUGAAACUCAAAGGAAUUGACGG
rnacentral:rRNA from 1 species